AUUGAACGCUGGCGGCAGGCAUAACACAUGCAAGUCGAACGAGUGGCGGACGGGUGAGUAAUGUCUGGGAAACUGCCUGAUGGAGGGGGCUAACUACUGGAAACGGUAGCUAAUACCGCAUACCAUCGGAUGUGCCCAGAUGGGAUUAGCUUGUGGGUGGGGUAACGGCUCACCCAGGCGCAGAUCACUAGCUGGUCUGAGAGGAUGACCAGCCACACUGGAACUGAGACACGGUCCAGACUCCUACGUGAGGCAGCAGUGGGGAAUAUUGCACAAUGGGAGCAAUCCUGAUGCAGCCAUGCCGCGUGUAUGAAGAAGGCCUUAGGGUUGUAAAGUACUUUCAGCGGGGAGGCGUUACCCGCAGAAGAAGCACCGGCUAACUCCGUGCCAGCAGCCGCGGUAAUAC
rnacentral:rRNA from 1 species